CGAAUGUCUUUACCGCCUCUUUUCCCACUUUGGUUUCCCCGUUAGUAGCGCAUGCGCAGCAUACGACUGCCACCAGCUUUGUCUCCUGAACACUUCGUUCACCAUUUCUUCCUCCGGAGUCGGAAAGGCGCGCUUCUUUGGGUUCUUGAGAAGGUGGUCCGGAAGCUGGCGACCACGGAACAAGACAAAUUCAUAGGAAAAAUGGAAAAGCAAAAGUUCUGAUGUUUUGCUUUUGAUUUCACCAACUCCAGGUGUUUUCUUUUUAGAAAGGUCCCAGGGAGAUUAACACUUCAAGACAUCUCUUAUCUUGGACAUAUUCUGAUGUCCUCAAAAGAAAAUGUGACUGCAUCCAAAUGCUGUGAUGGCUCCCCAGUUGUGCAUUGUGACAUUGUGCCAACAUCAGAGAUGGAUACUACUGCAGAGUGGAGAGGUUCUGAGAAGCAGAAGCAUGUCCUGGAGGAGUAACUGUCUUUCCCAGCACACAGUGUUGGUGGAGGGUCUGGAACCAGGCAGCUAAGAGGUAUGGAGACCACUGGAACACAGACAGUUCCUCUUAGGUUUGCUGUGAUAUGCCCAUUGUCACCUUGAGUGAGCUGCAGACACUGACAUCUUACCCAGCCCUGUUGGACUUUUGCUGUCUCAGCUUGCAGCUCUCUGGAGGACCAGAGUUGGUAGUCCUGACCAAUUGAAUAUUGGUGCAUGCAGAUGUCACUAGAUGCCAGACCCAGCCCUGUCCUUCGCCCCAUGGGCCUCUCUUUUUCUGAAACCACCAUCCCCAGAGAGUUAGUUCUCCUGGGAUAUUCCCCAGACCCUUUGGCCAGCUUUUCCACCUUUCCCUUCUGGGGUCAAUACUUUACAGUGUCUACAACCAAAAUAUCUCCCCACCAGGAGAACUUUCACCAUCAACUGGUCAUUUAGAACCCUUCUUCAUCUGUGGACAUCCAUGGGCCUUAUUCCACUUCAUCUUUCUGGUAGGCUGUCUUGGUCUUAAGAUAGUACAUGUCUCCAACCUGUAUAAAUGGAUCAUCCCUUUGGCCCUGAAGACUAUUAAACUGACCCCCAUUUGUUUUUUUAGACCUAAGCCCUUCAGCUCAGAUUGUCCUUUCCUCAAGGUCCUUGAUUACCAACCCAUCAUAGGACUGGAGUAACUAACCGACCUUUCCCUUUUCAAGGUAGAAGUUUCUUUACAUUCUUUCCUCAGGCUACUUUGUUAAAGCACAUUUCAAAAUAAGGUUUGACAUUAGCUGCAAUGGAACACCACCUCAAAGCCUGUCCUCUUUGAACUCUCCUGCUUGGGCCUCAGCUGCUGCAGCAAGGAAGCCUAGAUAAGGCCAUAUGGAGGAGAACUGAAACCUUUGGGCAACAGCCCCAGCUGAACUUCCAGUUGGCAUCUGCCACCAGCUGUCAGCUUUGGGAGUGAGGUCGUUUGGACCUUUCUUCUGCACAUCACAGAAUGGGAGUCCUUUUCCAGAUGUACUCCAUGUGUGAGGUUUGGAAAAAACACAUAUUAGUUGAUAAUAUUGCAGUGUGAUGGAAAAAGAAUGGCAAAUAAGAUCUAGCAGAGAAGAAUGCCAAUAGGAUCCCUGUGAGGUGGGCAUUCCAGACAGCAAGAGGGAUGGAUGUUCCAAGAGUGGGCAAGCUUGAGGAGAGCAAAAAAGACACCUAUUAUGAUGAAGUCAUAGGUAUUGAGCUGGAAAUAAAUAAGGACAGGUGGCUAGGUCCAAAGACUAAAUAGAGAUUUCUUGUGGCAGAAAGAUGAAUACCCAAUACUUGUUAGAGGUGAUUGGUUUAGAAAGGGUUUUACCUUAUCCAGAUACUUGAAGAACCAUUUAUAUAAGAGGCAAAGAAAAGAAUGCCUAACAACACUAUUACUAAAUUAUACUUGAAUUUAAAAACAAAGCCUCUUUCAUUCUUAAAAGUACCCAUUUCAAAAGUUUACAUUGCCCACCAAACAGUCUUUAUUUUUUUAUUAAAGUUUAUUUUAUUUAUUUAUUUUGAGAGAGAGAGCACGGGAGAGGCAGAGAGAGAUGGAGAGUGGGAAUCCCAAGCAGGCUCCACACUGUCAGUGCAGAACCUGAUGCAGGGCUCAAACUUACAAACCGAGAUCAUGACCUGAACCAAAAUCAAAAGCCAGACACUUAACUGACUGAGGUACCCCUCAGUAGCAGCAGUUUUUAAAGGAUAAUUUGGACCAUGCUCAAAUAGAGCUCUGCAAAUUUCUUAUUGCACUUUUCUUUACUUGAGAGAGAAACUGUUUGCACAAACAUGAAACAAACCUAAAACCUGGACCUUCACAGAGCUUUCACUCACCCAAAUAAAUGCAUUUAUUUGUUAUUCUUAGCACUUAACCUAAUAAUACCCCCUGGGUUAUAUACAACAUUCUUCUGAAUAUCUACAAUGUAGCAGUUAUUUCUGAACAUUUACUCCUGGAAAUUCACAGGAUGAACAAGUUUGCAUGCCGUAGGAUUUCUGAAAACCAUCUUGGCAAAAAUAAAAUAAAAAUAAGUGAGGUAGGGCACCCAGGUGGUUCAGGCAGUUAAGCGUCGGACUCUUGGUUUUGGCUCAGGUUAUAUUCUCAUGGUUUGUGAGUUCAAGCCCCACAUUAGGCUCUGCACUGAUAGUCUGGAGCCUGCUUGGGAUCCUCUCUCUCCCUUUCUCUCUACCCCUUCCCUGCUUGUUCUCUCCUUCUCUCUCAAAAAAAAAAACUUAAAAAGUGAGGUAAUCAUUUCACAGUAUAUACAUAUGUCAAAUCAUUAUGUUGUACAUCUUAAAGGAAUACAGUGUUCUAUGUUGAUUAUAUCUCAGUAAAACUGGGGGAAAAUGAAUGAGGGCUUUGGAAUAAAAUUGGAACGUAAUUUUACUAGCUAAGUAUUUAGUCUGUCUUGGCUUAACUACGGUGAAAGUAUUCUAAUAUUAACCUCAAUGAAUCCUAUUCCAAGAAUAUGGUAGUUAAUGGUAAAUAGGGCUGGAAGGAAGUUCCUCAUAGGUGGAGAUUUUUACGAAACCAAUUAGAGUCUCAAAGUUCUAUUUUUCUAGAAACAUCAAAAACUAUCAGGAUGUGCUGAAUUUUGAUAGUGACUCUUGAAGAUGUUUAGAAAUGAAAUGCACUGGUUCUUUAGUUGUAUGUAUAUUAUGGUGGAUUUAAUGAAAAGAAUCUUCUCAGAUCAAAAGCAUAUUUUCCUCAAAUCUAUCUUAGUUCCUUAACUACCUUGACAUCCCAAUUAAGAGCAGGGAGAAAAUCAAGGAGAAGACACAGGGAAAAUAAAAACUAAUACAAAAGGAAUACAGUGAUGUUUUACAUUUGUAUCCCAGCAUUCUUCGUUUGCCCUCAUUUUUUGCUGACAAUAAUAAAAUCUGAAGCAUGCAGUCUCACAUAGUGAGUAGCUCAGUCACUGUAACCUAUUAUGGUAAUACCUGCUCAUAAUUCAUCAGGGGACCACAAGAAAUACAGAACUACAUGCUCACAAAAACAGCAGCUAGCCUUUAAAAAAGAAGCAAAAAAAAACCAAAAACAAAAACAAAAAAAGGAAAGGAAACAAAAUGUAUGGGGUCAUUUCUUCUCCAGAGAAUAAAAAAAGACUAAAAUAUAUCAACUGAUGGCAGAAUAUGAGAAUUCAUUACUCUUCUGUAAAAUUUACAAAAAUAUUUGCAUGCUAAAACCUAUCAGAGUUUAUUAACAAGCUGUCACUUAUUGAGCACCUACUAGAUACAGAGAGAGCACUUUUACAUGUCAGUUGGGGUUACCAUUCACAGUUCUAAGCCAGAGUAGUAGGGACUGUGGUCAUAGGCAUACUUGUAUGUAUGUAACAUAACUGUUACAACAACUCCUUUGGAAAUAAUACAAAACCCAAUGCAAACUGGCUUAAGAAAAAGAAUUUAUUGGGUUACACAAUGCAAAAUUAUUUUCAAUAAAAAAUAGUUUUGAUUUUU